rnacentral:rRNA from 1 species
GACGAACGCUGGCGGCGUGCUUAACACAUGCAAGUCGAACGGAAAGGCCCUGCUUUUGUGGGGUGCUCGAGUGGCGAACGGGUGAGUAACACGUGAGUAACCUGCCCUUGACUUUGGGAUAACUUCAGGAAACUGGGGCUAAUACCGGAUAGGAGCUCCUGCUGCAUGGUGGGGGUUGGAAAGUUCCGGCGGUUGGGGAUGGACUCGCGGCUUAUCAGCUUGUUGGUGGGGUAGUGGCUUACCAAGGCUUUGACGGGUAGCCGGCCUGUGAGGGUGACCGGCCACAUUGGGACUGAGAGACGGCGCAGACGCCUACGGGAGGCAGCAGUGGGGAAUAUUGCACAGUGGGGGGAAGCCUGAUGCAGCAACGCCGCGUGCGGGAUGACGGCCUUCGGGUUGUAAACCGCUUUCGCCUGUGACGAAGCGUGAAUGACGGUAAUGGGUAAAGAAGCACCGGCUAACUACGUG